AUUGAACGCUGGCGGCAGGCCUAACACAUGCAAGUCGAGCGGAUGAAGGGAGCUUGCUCCUGGAUUCAGCGGCGGACGGGUGAGUAAUGCCUAGGAAUCUGCCUGGUAGUGGGGGAUAACGUCCGGAAACGGGCGCUAAUACCGCAUACGUCCUGAGGGAGAAAGUGGGGGAUCUUCGGACCUCACGCUAUCAGAUGAGCCUAGGUCGGAUUAGCUAGUUGGUGGGGUAAAGGCCUACCAAGGCGACGAUCCGUAACUGGUCUGAGAGGAUGAUCAGUCACACUGGAACGGGGACACGGUCCAGACUCCUACGGGAGGCAGCAGUGGGGAAUAUUGGACAAUGGGCGAAAGCCUGAUCCAGCCAUGCCGCGUGUGUGAAGAAGGUCUUCGGAUUGUAAAGCACUUUAAGUUGGGAGGAAGGGCAGUAAGUUAAUACCUUGCUGUUUUGACGUUACCAACAGAAUAAGCACCGGCUAACUUCGUG
rnacentral:rRNA from 1 species